AAGAUUAAGAACCACACUCCCUUCCUUUCCCUGCCAUCGUGGUGUGUGCUUUACUCCGUUUCUCGCCAUGUCUUCUCACAAGACUUCCAGGAUUAAGCGAUUCCUGGCCAAGAAACAAAAGCAAAAUCGUCCCAUUCCCCAGUGGAUUCGGAUGAAAACUGGUAAUAAAAUCGGUACAACCCCAAAAGGAGACAUUGGAGAAGAACCAGGCUGGGUCUAUAAGGAAUUACACGAGAU